rnacentral:rRNA from 1 species
UGAGACACGGCCCAAACUCCUACGGGAGGCAGCAGUGGGGAAUCUUCCGCAAUGGACGAAAGUCUGACGGAGCAACGCCGCGUGAGUGAUGAAGGUCUUCGGAUUGUAAAACUCUGUUGCCAGGGACGAAUGUGCGAACGUUGAAUAAGCGUUUGUAUUGACGGUACCUGACGAGGAAGCCACGGCUAACUACGUGCCAGCAGCCGCGGUAAUACGUAGGUGGCAAGCGUUGUCCGGAAUUAUUGGGCGUAAAGAGCAUGUAGGCGGGCUUUUAAGUCCGACGUGAAAAUGCGGGGCUUAACCCCGUAUGGCGUUGGAUACUGGAAGUCUUGAGUGCAGGAGAGGAAAGGGGAAUUCCCAGUGUAGCGGUGAAAUGCGUAGAUAUUGGGAGGAACACCAGUGGCGAAGGCGCCUUUCUGGACUGUGUCUGACGCUGAGAUGCGAAAGCCAGGGUAGCAAACGGGAUUAGAUACCCCGGUAGUCCUGGCCGUAAACGAUGGGUACUAGGUGUAGGAGGUAUCGACCCCUUCUGUGCCGGAGUUAACGCAAUAAGUACCCCGCCUGGGGACUACGAUCGCAAGAUUGCAACUCAAAUGAAUUGACGG